UCUUUCUUUGCUGGCGACCGGCGCACGGGCGAGUAACACGUAUCCAACCUGCCCUUUACUCGGGGAUAGCCUUUCGAAAGAAAGAUUAAUACCCGAUAGCAUAAUGAUUCCGCAUGGUUUCAUUAUUAAAGGAUUCCGGUAAAGGAUGGGGAUGCGUUCCAUUAGGUUGUUGGUGAGGUAACGGCCCACCAAGCCUUCGAUGGAUAGGGGUUCUGAGAGGAAGGUCCCCCACAUUGGAACUGAGACACGGUCCAA
rnacentral:rRNA from 1 species